rnacentral:rRNA from 1 species
ACUCCUACGGGAGGCAGCAGUGAGGAAUAUUGGACAAUGGGCGGGAGCCUGAUCCAGCCAUGCCGCGUGCAGGAAGACUGCCCUAUGGGUUGUAAACUGCUUUUAUACGGGAAGAAACACUCCCUCGUGAGGGAAUUUGACGGUACCGUAAGAAUAAUGGAUCGGCUAACUCCGUGCCAGCAGCCGCGGUAAUACGGAGGAUCCAAGCGUUAUCCGGAAUCAUUGGGUUUAAAGGGUCCGUAGGUGGACGAUUAAGUCAGAGGUGAAAUCUUGCAGCUCAACUGUAAAAUUGCCUUUGAUACUGGUUGUCUUGAGUUAUUAUGAAGUGGUUAGAAUAUGUAGUGUAGCGGUGAAAUGCAUGAUAUUACAUAGAAUUACCCAAUUGCGAAGGCAGAUCACUAAUAAUAUACUGACACUGAUGGACGAAAAGCGUGGGUAGCGAAACAGGAUUAGAUACCCUGGUAGCGAGUAG